UAGGAUUUGAUUUUUUGUUUUAUUUCUAUAGGUAUAGUGUAAGUUAGUUCAAAGUUUUAGUCAUUUUGUUGGAGAGGUUAGAUAGGUAACUAUGCUAAUAUGCUACAUCUGACUCAGAAUGUAGUAUUUUAUCGUAGGUUUUCUGUAUACAUGGUAAGUAAAUGCAUUUUGGGGAACUUGGAUUCUCUGUCCAGCUGGUCUUUUGUGUCUUCCUUUACAUUCCUUUGCAUUUUCCUGUGCAUUCCUCAAUGAAAGCUCAUUUUAUCCGUCAAGGUUUCCUACGCUGCUCAAAGAAUUACAUUUCCAAAAGAGAGGGAUAUGCUGUUGAAUCAUUUUAAUUCAGUCGCACAGGACACUGCAAAGGAGUCCUGUUUAUCUGAAUCAGGUUUUAAUGGGCGUUGUGCCAUGUCUUCUCUCGAUUGUAGCGUACAUUGUAAUGUUUUUGAUGUAGAAAGUUCUCUGCCUGGUCCACUGAAAGUCAGUUUAACUGUCACUUGGGUCUGAACCAAAAGCUGUGAGGAAGGGUUAAAAUUCUCAGUAUGCAAAAGAACGGUUGGUUGGACUGUUUCAAUUGGUGCGCGUGGGUUUAGAAUGCUCAUUGAACAGCGUGAUUGGCUGAUGCUGGGCUAGAAGUAUAUAUAUGACCUAACAAUGGUCAACAGAGAGCAGAAGUGGGAUGGUUAGAGCUGGCAGUGUUGGUGCUUGGUGUUUGUAGAGUCAUCCAGGAGAAGAUGGUUACAGCAACAGAGGAAGAGGAUGGGGGAAGAAGGAGGACAUUGUGAGAGGCUUUUUCGGUUCACUUGUUUUUGUGACUGUGUGGAACCCAGUUCAGCUACUGAUUAAUUGCGUGACUGCAGAAAUGGAUAGAAGUCCCCCAUCCAAACAAUGACUAUCAUCAGUGCAGAAAAGGUCUACAGAAAUAGCCUAUUGAAUAAAAAAAUGUCAAGCAACAGUUGGGUCACAGAGUCUUCAGUUGACCUUCUCAUAGAUAAGAGUCCCUUCGCUGUGAGUUUUCAGAAUAUAUCUGAGUGGGCCAAGAAAAUGCAUCUCUAUUAUCUAUAGGUAGUAAUACACGAAGAUAGCAAUAAAUACACUGAAUAACAAUAUCUCAAACAGAAAAUUUGAGAUGCAAUCUCUGAAUCACCGGACCGUUCUUUGGCACGACAUUGCUUUCGCAAGAGAAAAGUACAGAAUGCAGCUCAGAGUGGAAAAAAAUAUGAAUCUCUACAGAACUAGAUAUGGUAUUUUAAGGAGAAGGCAACAAAAGAUGAAUAGGCUCCAACUCCGCAAGUUGGGCAGAAAGUACUUGGGAAGAUGGACUUCAGGGUGGCAAGCUGGAAGGAGUGGAUGAGUUCUUCAUCCACUUAUGUGUCUGCUGUUAAACUUUGUAAUAAUAAUAAUAGUAAUAAUUUUUUAUGUAUAUCCUGCCCAUCUGGCUGGGUUUCCCCAGCCUCUCUG